rnacentral:rRNA from 1 species
GACGAACGCUGGCGGCGUGCCUAAUACAUGCAAGUAGGACGCAGAUGCGAACGGGUGAGUAACGAGUAGGUAACUGCCUAUUAGAGGGGGCUAACUAUUGUAAACGAUAGCUAAUACCGCCUACUAGUCGAAGGACCUGUGUUGUAUUAGCUAGUAGGUAGGGUAAUGGCCUACCUAGGCAACGAUACAUAGCCGACCUGGGGAGGGGGGCGGCCAAACUGGGACUGGGGAACGGCCCAGACUCCUACGGGGAGCAGCCGGAGGGGAACUUCGGCAAUGGGGGGAACCCUUACCGAGCAACGCCGCGGGGGUGAAGAAAGUUUUCGGAUCGUAAAGCUCUGUUGUUAAGGAAGCGGUACUUAACCAGAAAGGGACGGCUAACUACGUGCCAGCCGCCGCGGUAAUUC